GUUGCCGUGGCCGAGUGGUUAAGGCGAUAGACUUGAAAUCUCUUGGGAUUUUUUCGCGCCGGUUCGAAUCCUGCCGACAACG